GCUGCUAUGCCCUGAGAGCUGCACUGAAGAGCACGAUUCUGGGAAUAUCAGAAGAUGUGUAUCUAAGGUGAACAAUACCUCUCCUCUCUCCAAGCUACAAACUAUUAAACAAAGUGUCAAUAAAAUGAUAACCAAGAAACCCAGACUUGGCUAGUGGAGGCUAGUGAUUGAUGCACCCAGAAAUUUAACCUAACAGCCAGGCCUGAAUAAGAGCAAGCAAAUCAAUCAAUCACCAAGAAAACAAGGAGAGAAAGGACAAGAUGAUUGUUUCAAAGCACCACAUCCAAGCAAAUCCUUCUGGCCACCAACAGUCAAAGCAACACGAGAAACGGUCAAGUUCACUUUCCUACUCUCACUAACCAAGUUGUAUGAAACAAAUACAC